rnacentral:lncRNA from 1 species
UGCAAUGUAGUUCAUCUUCGGUGUUCUCUCAACUACGCCUUCUCGUGGACCGUUCAGACCCUCACGUCCACUUGCCCACUUUCUCUUGGCGCAUUGGACGGGGUACGUUGGUCUGGAUUGUCUCUGGGUCUUGAUAUUGUUGUAGAGGUCUGUGACACGACUUUAUUGCUCUAUGGUUUGCCUCAUCGCCAUUGACAUGAGGUUGGUCUAGGUCGAACAUGUAUGAUAGUACAUGUGGUGGGUGUGCUUCGUGGAUGGGGUUGUUAAUCCAUGUGAUUGGCAUUAUAAUGGCUGAAAGACUUGUAUCCGACUUUUUUGGCUCUUCUUCUAUCAAUAUAUGAUACAAAUGUUUGUGUGUAUUCUAGAAAAGAAGUUUUUACCCAAGUUCGGCCUCUCAUGAUCAAGCUAAUACCCUACUUCUGUUCGUGUAUAUUGUGAUUGGGGUGUGUAUAAAGUUGAAAGUGCACGAUGACACUAAAUUAUAUUUUGGUGUGAUGAAAACAUG